CCUACGGGAGGCAGCAGUGGGGAAUAUUGGGCAAUGGAGGAAACUCUGACCCAGCGACGCCGCGUGCGGGAUGAAGGCCUUCGGGUUGUAAACCGCUUUCAGUAGGGAAGAAGCGAAAGUGACGGUACCUACAAAAGAAGCACCGGCUAACUAUGUGCCAGCAGCCGCGGUAAUACAUAGGGUGCAAGCGUUGUCCGGAAUUAUUGGGCGUAAAGAGCUCGUAGGUCGUUUGUUACGUCGGAUGUGAAAACCUGAGGCUCAACCUCAGGCCUGCAUUCGAUACGGGCAAACUAGAGUUUGGUAGGGGAGACUGGAAUUCCUGGUGUAGCGGUGGAAUGCGCAGAUAUCAGGAGGAACACCAAUGGCGAAGGCAGGUCUCUGGGCCAAUACUGACACUGAGGAGCGAAAGUCUGGGGAGCGAACAGGAUUAGAUACCCUGGUAGUCCAGACCGUAAACGGUGGGCACUAGUUGUGGGAACCUUCCACGGUUUCUGCGACGCAGCUAACGCAUUAAGUGCCCCGCCUGGGGAGUACGAUCGCAAGAUUAAAACUCAAAGGAAUUGACGGCUGAGACGUGCGAGACGACGACGAGGAGAG
rnacentral:rRNA from 1 species